CAUCGGGACAAGCUCAUCUCCGGGCUGCCUUAUGGCGUGCGCAAGGUGAUCGAACUGGCCCGCGCACUGUGCACCGAGCCGAAGCUGAUCCUGCUGGACGAGCCCUCGUCCGGGCUNGAGCCGUCGUCCGGGCUGAAUGUGGAGGAGACCGACGACAUGUCGUUCUGGAUCCGCGACAUGAAGACCGAGCUUGGCAUCACUGUGCUGAUGGUUGAGCACGAUAU
rnacentral:misc_RNA from 1 species